rnacentral:rRNA from 1 species
UACGUAGGAGGCAAGCGUUGUCCGGAAUCACUGGGCGUAAAGCGCGUGUAGGCGGAUCGCUAAGUCUGUGGUGAAAGCGCCUGGCUUAACCGGGCGAGGUCCAUGGAAACUAGCGGUCUGGAGGCCGGUAGAGGGGGGUGGAAUUCCGGGUGUAGUGGUGGAAUGCGUAGAGAUCCGGAGGAACACCAGCGGCGAAGGCGGCAUCCUGGACUGGUCCUGACACUCAUGAGCGAAAGCGUGGGGAGCGAUCCGG